AAAGGGGUGCUGGCUGAGAAAGAUGCAAACUCUGCAGUGGAGACCCCGUGCUCUCGUAGUCUGUAUUAGCUCAGAGCCUGACGAUGGACCCCUGAAUGCUGGGAACUUUAUAUUUUAGAGAAUUAAUGGUUGGUUUCAAGAACAGGUUUAGUUAAUAUCCAUGUUGAGAUUCUAAGGAAAUAGGUAAAGGAACAAAAUUUUCCUCCAUCCCCCAAACCUGGGUUUAAUCCAUCUCACGCUGAGUUCUGUGCGUGAGCUCUGCUUGAUGCUCCAAGGAACGGAACCAGAAUUGCAGCUGGAAUCUAUUUUGCAGGAGCCGCAGGAGACUCUGGGCAGUGAGAAGGAUAACAAGACUGCGAGUUAAGAGAGAGAAGUGGCUUGCCGACAUUAUACAGCAAGGAAAGUGGCUCCACCAUGAACCACCCCUAGCCUGUGCUACUCCAGAGAAGAUGAAGAAACAACCUAGCAAGGUUAGGAAAUUUGCCCAAAGUCGCAUAACCAGGAUGUGAAGAAACUGGUCUUUCUGACUCCAAAGUUCAUACUUUUCCUCUUACGCCACAUCCCUUCUCUGGCACCAAUCACCUUGAAUUGCAAAUACUUCUUGUCACUGUCUUCGCCAUGGCCUGCGAGCCCUACAAGGCAGUUGGUGGCUCUGAUUUCGGGACUGUGACCCCACUGCCCAGUAAGGGGUUUGCUCCCAAGUGUCUGAUCCUAAAAGUGUAAUGGGAGUGAGUGACUUGUUCCAUUUGCAGGGACCCAGCCUGGAAAGGAAAAGCAGUAUGUUUGUCCUCUCCCUGUGCAGGGACAGGCCCACUAUCUCUCCUGGAAGGCGAUAAAGGGGCAGCUCUUGCCUCCUUGAGGACUUACAGAUGUUUCCUGAGGCCAUGAGGGCAUUUCUGCCUCUUGCCAGUUCAUGUGAGCGGCGGGGAAAGCCAGCCUCAUGGCUCUGCUGGUGUGAAUGUCAACAACCAACUCUAGCCAGCAACCUGGAAAUUUCUCUGCAACGUUAAGGCCAGUAGAGGCCCACGGAGGAUGGAGGCCCCAUCACCAGCUUGUCGGAUUCUUGCUGAAGACCUGAAAGAGCUCCACCGUAGAGACAGCAGGACCUGCUGGUUGAGACCUCCAGCUCUGCAGUCACCUCUAGCCUGGAAAACCAUCUCCAUCACUUAGUAAAUCUGUGGCCUUGGCAAGUUUCUCAACCUCUCUAAACCUCAAUUACUUCACUUUUAGCAGAGAGUAAUUCCUUCCUUUUCAAAAUUAUGUACAAAAAAAGAUAACGUAUAUAAAACCCUUACCACCAAGCACAGUGCUCGCAUACAACAAUAACACUAAUGAUGAUGGUAACAGUAAUAAUAACUUAGUAUCAAACUAUCCGUUGUAGAUUUUUGUUGUUUGCAGCUAAAAAUCCUGACUGAUAUGGUGAAUGUGAUUUGUUGGGGGAGCAGAGUGUUUUCUAGAAGGACAGGCCACUUGGACCCGAGAGGUGGUUUCCCCCGGUCCAGGACACGUGCUGAUGGAGAAAGCGAUCUGCCAUCUUUUGGGUGUGAGCAUGUGCUGCUCCUGCUCUGGACCCCAACUCCUGGAGUAACCUGAGAAGGGAGAGACCUGGUCAAGAUUCUGUCCCCAGUCUUCUUCUUUUUUUUCUUUCUUUUUAAAGAUUUAAUUUUUUUCCUUUUUCUUCCCAAAGCCCUCCAGUACACAGUUGCACAUUCUUAGUUGUGGGUCCCUCUAGUUGUGGCAUGUGGGACGCCGCCUCAGCGUGGCUCGAUGACUGGCACCAUGUCUGCACCUAGGAUCCGAACCGGUGAAACCCUGGGCUGCCGCAGCAAAGCGUGAGAACUUAACCACUCGGCCACGGGGCCAGCCCCAUCCCCACUCUUUUGAAUCCCAAGUAGCAAACAAUCAUUUCUUUGUCCCUACUACCUAGUAUAGGACGGAACAAUUAGCAGUUAUUAAAAUUAUAUGCUAUUUUUAAAAGAAAGUGAAUAAUCAUUUAUAUUGAACAAUAUUUAAAAGUUAGAAAGUAUUUUCACAAGGAUUACUUUAUUUCCAUUGUUUACGCAUGCAAAUACCCACAAAAAAAGAGAUGAGCUUUAUUUAAAUCCUUCUUGAGCUCUUCCAGUUUUCACCCACAGGCCUCCAGGGAAGAAACUGAAAGACUUGUGCAAUUUUGGAUUGUAAUCUUUUCACUGGACAUUCUUUCGUAUAUAUUUUCCGUGUCUCCAUGAGAUUUAUAUCUGUCAUUUUUAAGCGUGUCAUAGUAUUCCUUCAAAUGAAUGGGCCAAACGUUGUUCAUCUACCUGUCAUUUGGCACCUGAAAGUUCCAGGUUUCUGCUAUCAUAUGUAAAACUAUCAACCUUUAUUAAAACAAGCUUUUAAAACAAUUUUAGAAGUAUUUCUUUAGGGCUGAUUCCUAG
rnacentral:lncRNA from 1 species